rnacentral:tRNA from 1 species
GGAGAGGUGGCCGAGUGGUUUAAGGCGCACGCUUGGAAAGUGUGUAUACUGUCAAAAGUAUCAAGGGUUCGAAUCCCUUUCUCUCCUCCA